CCUACGGGAGGCUGCAGUGGGGAAUAUUGCACAAUGGGGGCAACCCUGAUGCAGCGACGCCGCGUGAGUGAAGAAGUAUUUCGGUAUGUAAACCUCUAUCAGCAGGGAAGAAAAUGACGGUACCUGAGUCAGAAGCCCCGGCUAACUACGUGCCAGCACCCGCGGGAAUACGUAGGGGGCAAGCGUUAUCCGGAUUUACUGGGUGUAAAGGGAGCGUAGACGGGAGGAAAAGUCUGGAGUGAAAUCUGGGGGCUCAACCCCCGAACUGCUUUGGAAACUGUGCGGCUGGAGUGCAGGAGAGGUAGGCGGAAUUCCUAGUGUAGCGGGGAAAUGCGUAGAUAUUAGGAGGAACACCAGUGGCGAAGGCGGCUUACUGGACGGUAACUGACGGUGAGGCUCGAAAGCGUGGGGAGCAAACAGGAUUAGAUACCCGGGUAGUC
rnacentral:rRNA from 1 species